CCCGGGCGUCGAACAGUCAGC
rnacentral:siRNA from 1 species